rnacentral:lncRNA from 1 species
GCAAAUGGUCUUCAUAUUGGGCACUGGAGCAACAAACAUCAGGAGAAGAAGAUGGAGCACGAUGGCUGCCCGAGAGAUUAAUUCAUCAGCUGAACACAGAUCCUGAAUCUUCUUGUAAGUAUCACUCUGAGGGCUAAAAUUCCUCUUUUGCCUAGAAAUCAGUUGGGAACACAGGCUCCCAGAAAAGUUGUUUUCUUGCAACUCUCAGAGCCAGCUCCCCCAUAAGGAGUCUGGAGACUGAGCUUGAGCCUUGCUAAUUUGCAACUGAAUAAAGUACCUGGACUUCCCCCAAAAGAAGUUUUGCAUUGUUACCUUCUCAUUGUCUGGAUCUCCUUUUUUUUUCAAGCAGGUCAAUCAACACGCUUCAGCCAGACUGCAUGGGCGUGCAUCCCUGCCCCCAAGAGCAUGCAGGAAGCAGCUACUAAUUUUCAUUCUAAAGACAUUCCAGCUCGUAUUGUGGCUUUUGGUCUGAUUUGUGAUUAAGGUUUGCUACUAGGGCUAGAAAGGCAGAAAUUUCAAAUAUUAGAAGAAAUUGGUUUUUAUUCUGAUAGACGGGCUUAGUCCCUUAGCUGGUCUCUGGUUUUCCACCCUUGCUGUUAUUGCAAGGUCCCCUUAGUUCAUCAGGCUGUGGAAAUAACAGAGAUGAGGAGGGUGACCUCCAGCUCCUAAUAUAGCCUAAGAGCCACAAAUUGUGGUGUUACUAGUGACAUAAUUCUUGUUGAGGCCUUGCUCAAUCUGAGGUUGACAAUUCUCCCUUAGGAGCUUCACAGUACUCAGAACUGUGCAUGCUGCUUCGUAAUAACAUGAAUACAGUUAUGGGCACCAGCGUGGGUGCAGGAAAUUUCACUGCAGGGGAAGGUCCAAUGUGACCAUUUCUGGGUUCUCUGAGAGAUACACCCGGUUUGGAUGGAGGUUGGUAUCUAGUUCCAGUUACAACCAAGAAGAUCUUUCUAAGGCUCUGCCUCCCUUCCCCAAAAGAUACCAAGAGCCAUGAUUGUGGGUCGUGCCAGCAUCCACGGGAGGAAUCGGGUCAAUGUCCCUCCAGCCAUGGUUAAAGUCCACUGAUCCAAGGAUGAGAAAAUCAUUUGAUUACCUCAGUUAAGUGUGGCCUUAUUAAGCUUAAUUCAUCGGGGGCGGGGGGGGGGGAGGUUGAAGACCAUACUGUUAGGAGGGCAAGCCCUUCACAGCCUCCCACCCUAACAAGCCAAAUGGCCUUGUACUACGGAGCCUGUCCUCACCCCCUCCUCUCUGUUCCCCGCCUGUCAUCCAAGGCUGCAGAGGAGAAUCCACAUACUCUCCUUCAGUGUUACCAUAAUAUAGUGCCUUUCAAAAUUGUACAGUCUUGUUCAGUCAGUGUCCCAACGCCCUAGAUAGACCAUGUAGCUGACUGCUUGGUAUUCAGUAAAAAUUCAACAAGGAAGUUACCUAUUCAGUAACUAAUUAGCAUUAUAAAAGACGGAGCCAACAGCUCAGGGCUAGUCUGCUAGAUGUUUACUAGUACAGAAAGGACAGUCUUAUCCAGAUACGGUUUACCAUAAGAAAAGUUAGGAAUUCCCACUGAGACGGGUUUCUUCAUUAGGC